rnacentral:ncRNA from 1 species
CGACUCUGCGAAAAAAGAGAAAUACCUCCUAGAUACAAGAGUAUCUUCGUCGGAUUUCCUAUUUUUCAUUGAGUCG